UUUAGAAAUCACCUUAAUAGUUCCUGUGACACACUCUUAUUGGAUUUACAUUCAUCAGCAAAUCCAAGAAAACAAUUUGAUAAUUUUAGCACAAAGCAGACAAAGAAGGAUUUGCUAAGCUGCUUAGAGCCCUGGCUCUGAAACGUUGGAAAGGUUCAGGUUGAUGUACAUUCACAGGAUAGGCACCAUGGAUGGACUAUAUCAGACAUGAAUAGUGUUUUGAAUCUUUGAAGCCAGCUUAUGAUCAAGAAUGUAUCUCAUUCUGCAGCAAAAUUUAGCAAGGGAAAUAUUUUAUCAAUCUGACAAAGGGAAGCAUCAAUAUUGUUUCAUUAUAUCAUUAUUUUAAGCAGCUUCUCAACACUAUUAAGAUGCAGGAUGAAAAAAGACAUCACUGCUUCUGACUUUUCCUUGACGUCCAUGAAAAAAAGUGCCUGAGGCAUCGCAUUUGCAGUGAAUCCUUCUCUAUGGCAGUGACAUACAGAGUUUGCUGCACCCUUCGUGGGAAGAGGUUCACUUCUAAAACAUCGGUAAUGUAGAGAGAACAAUAAAACGGACAGAUGGAUGGAAGUUCAUGCAGCUGCUACCAUGAAUUCCUUACCAUUCUGGUGAUAAACAAAACAAUCACAAUGAAGAAUGGCCAUUGCAUUCCAAAGGUGACAGACUGAAGAUAUUCCUAAGGAAAGCCUCACCACUGAUAAAGGAUUCAGCAGGACAGUGAACCCUUGAAAUCAAUAGAAAUGGGAAGUCCUCAGCGUCUCUCACAGCUAUUGGCAAAUGAAGGGUUAUUUGCAAAAACUGGAGGUCUAAUUUUUUUUGAAGGUAUGAAUGAUAUGCAAAACUGAAUGUUGAUUCUGAUCCUCCUAUGCCUGUAAGCCUUUCCAGAACCAAGGGGCACAGAAGAGACAACCAUGUAUUUAGGAGUCGUAAUCAGUUGUAGCAUUCAAAAUAAACUUCUGGAUUGUGCCAGCAGAAGCUGGAAACUUUCCUUCCCUGGCAGCUUGAUUUCCAAAAGAUCACUUCUAGUGGCUGAGUAUAAUAGAUUUGAUCUAAAUAAACACUGAGUGUGAUUAAUUAGCACGUGACUACAAUUAGCACAACACCUAUGUCUGUAGUACCAUUUCUCUACCAAAAGAUCCCAUUAUGAGAUGAUUAUAUAUGAUAGUUUCUUGUAAUUAAGGAACUAUAGGAAUGCACAUGGGAAGCUGUCUGGCCCUUAUUUAGAGGGACAUCUGAAAUGGUUUCAUUACACUGGAGAAAGCAGUGGAGUUGCUUUAAAUUUCAUUUAAUCUAAAUUCAGUAUAGGCACUCAUUAGAACUUAUAUGCACUUAUUAGAACAAUCAUCUAGUCUUACUUAUCAGAUUUUGCCUGAUUUUGUCUGUGCUGUAAAACACAUUAUUAUGAAACAUGCUAUCCUGUUUGUUUUGUUAAGGACAGCAUAAUACUAUUUUCUGUUAUUCUUUGUCUUAGUAAACUUUGGACAUGGAUAGUGCCUUCUGUUAUUGAGAAAAUCAGAGCCACUUGAUUAGCCUGUACCUCAAAUGUGCACCAUGAAAAAGAGGAAAAGGUUUCAUGCUUCUCAGAGUACCCUCUUGAUUCAAUUUGCUAUCAGCUUGUACACUGGGAGGCACUUCACUAAAAUGAUAUAAAAUGGAUAGAGUCCAUAGAUAACAUGAACUAUUUUAAUCUCAUUCUUUAAAUGCAGUCUAUUUACCUAUACAAGAUAAAACUAAAAUCUCCAUCUUUCUGAUGGAGUGUUCAAUUUUUGUAAUAACCAGAUUAUCUGAUAAGACCACAAAAAAAAAAUCCUUUAAGGCAAACUAGGAACUUCUGUCAAAAAAAAAGAAAAAAAAAUGUGAAAUGAAAUUAUAGACCAACUUUAACAUAUGAAAAUAAAUAAAGUCUUUGUUGUAAUCGUAUGUUUCUAUUCAUUGAAGGAAUUAUUUCAGUUGACAAAGCUUCCAAUCCCUUAUUGCUGUGAUCAGUUGCUAAUGGAAAUAAUUUAUAGAUUGUGCAGUGUAUGUUCUAUUCUGCACCACUCUGACACAAAUUAAACAAGCUCCCUAAUUCCAGUGGCACUUUUUGCACAAACACUAAUUUACUUGAGCACUAAUAACCCAAUCCAGUCCCUAAAGUCUGGCCAGUUUGGGUCUCUAUCUUAGCCUUGUGUACUGGUGUUCUUCCACUUUCCUUAUUCAAUGUAAAGGGCUAUGAUCAUCACCUCCUCUUUUUAAUGCUUUAAUGCAAUGAAAAGCAUAAGGAUUUUAGCACUUCUCCUCAUUUUUAUUUUGCUUAUGGCAAUUACUUACUUAAAUCAAUGAUUAUUACAUUCCCUAAUUUAGAUUAUCAACAUUAAGAUAUUUACAUAAGUAGAUUAUCAAAAUGGUACUAAUUAAAGCAAUUAAUUGUUACAAAAUGCUCGAAUUUUAAUUUUAAAGUUCUGAUUCUAAAUUUCAAAAAUGCAUCUAGGAAAGAUUUAAUAGAAACCUAUGAAAAGGAUACACAAAGCUUCUUCAGAGAAAAAGGCAACCCUUUCUUAGUUCUAAAUGUCAACUUUAUUCAUAUACAGAUUAUAUUCUCUCUGUAAUUGGAGAAGAACUAGUCAUGCAGAACUGAGUGACCCAACUGAUUACUUAUCCUGUACAAACUACUUUUUCUUUAUCUAUGCCCACUAAUUUACAGAGGAAAGGACCACAGACCACUUGGAGCAUUUUCAGUCAUUCACAGAAAUAAGCCCAAAAUGGACCAUGGUGGUACGAUUUACAGCGGACUUCACAGCACCCUGUUCCCAGAGAGCUGAGGACAUUGGCACUUCUGUGAAUGAAGACUCUUUUGUUAAGUGGCUUUUUAAUACUUUAUUCUAAGGGGAUAUCUCUAAAACUUGUUUUUAUUUUUAAGUUGGGUUUAUUUUGUAAAUUUGAUUUUACCUCAAGACAUCACAAUCUCAACAGUCAUGUGAAGAUGAAUACAUGCUCCAAUCCAGACAACCUGAACAAAAAAGCCAUGCUUCCCUGGCGAGGUUAUGUGAUAUCUUAGA